rnacentral:rRNA from 1 species
AACGCUAGCGGCAGGCCUAACACAUGCAAGUCGAGGGGUAACAUUUGUGCUUGCACAAGAUGACGACCGGCGCACGGGUGCGCACCGCGUAUGGAACCUGCCUUCUACAGGGGAAUAGCCCAGGGAAACUUGGAUUAAUGCCCCGUAGUACUAUUUUUUGGCAUCAUUGAAUAGUUAAAGCCUUCGGGCGGUAGAAGAUGGCCAUGCGUCCCAUUAGCUUGUUGGUAAGGUAACGGCUUACCAAGGCUACGAUGGGUAGGGGCCCUGAGAGGGGGAUCCCCCACACUGGUACUGAGACACGGACCAGACUCCUACGGGAGGCAGCAGUGAGGAAUAUUGGACAAUGGAGGGGACUCUGAUCCAGCCAUGCCGCGUGCAGGAAGAAUGCCCUAUGGGUAGUAAACUGCUUUUAUACGGGAAGAAAAAGGGCUACGUGUAGCUUACUGACGGUACCGUAAGAAUAAGGACCGGCUAACUCCGUGCCAACAGCCGCGGUAAUACGGAGGGUCCGAGCGUUAUCCGGAAUUAUUGGGUUUAAAGGGUCCGUAGGCGGGCCGGUAAGUCAGGGGUGAAAGUUUGCAGCUCAACUGUAAAAUUGCCUUUGAUACUGUCGGUCUUGAGUUAUGGUGAAGUUGCCGGAAUAUGUAGUGUAGCGGUGAAAUGCAUAGAUAUUACAUAGAACACCGAUUGCGAAGGCAGGUGACUAACCAUAUACUGACGCUGAUGGACGAAAGCGUGGGGAGCGAACAGGAUUAGAUACCCUGGUAGUCCACGCCGUAAACGAUGGAUACUAGCUGUCCGGGUCCUUGAGACUUGGGCGGCCAAGCGAAAGUGAUAAGUAUCCCACCUGGGGAGUACGUUCGCAAGAAUGAAACUCAAAGGAAUUGACGGGGGCCCGCACAAGCGGUGGAGCAUGUGGUUUAAUUCGAUGAUACGCGAGGAACCUUACCAGGGCUUAAAUGCAUAUUGACAGGGUCAGAGAUGACUUUUCCUUCGGGCAAUUUGCAAGGUGCUGCAUGGUUGUCGUCAGCUCGUGCCGUGAGGUGUCAGGUUAAGUCCUAUAACGAGCGCAACCCCUACCGUUAGUUGCCAGCAUGUCAUGAUGGGGACUCUAACGGGACUGCCGGUGCAAACCGUGAGGAAGGUGGGGAUGACGUCAAAUCAUCACGG